AAUAAAGUUGUGAUUAGAACAAGUACCCUGUUGAAUCUGUCAAGAGAGUUCGGGAUGAUGAGAUCCGGACCAGAUUCACGGGCGAAACCACGUCUAUGAACUGUUCGACCGAAGCACUCAGUAAGUCGUUCCGCAUGUUUAGCGUUAUCAGGGUUACCCUAGCUGUUACUUUUUGGUGACUAGUUAUCGGCAACGUAAGGUCGACCAUCGUGAGGUGGCGACAAAUUGAGGUGGAACCGCGAUUAAUACUCGUCCUCGUA
rnacentral:ncRNA from 1 species